UUCGCCCGCCUGGCCGCCCGCCUUGUGUAUCUGCAAAGAGGAGCGCAGUGCAGUGUGCUGCAGCAGGUGGUCUAGGGGUUCGAUCGAGUGAAGUACGCUGCCUGCAAUGAUAAUCGACCGCCAGAUAGUCGUCUGCCCUUUCGACAAUGCUUCGAUGCCUCUCUGCCCAGCAGCGUGUCGUCGUUACCGGUGAAAUGGUUGAUCAACGGGCAAUGCGGCGUCUGUCACCGGAGGAUUUCCAAGAUGGACGGUUUCGAUCAAGACACCCUUGCUCACUUCUCAGAUGUUCCAACAGUUGACGUCCAAGGUUGCCGCUAUCGUUCCUGGUUCCGCAGACGGUGAAAUCGAUGAAUAAACGUGGAUCCAUUCCAGGAGAUCCAUCGCAAGGUUCAUAGCCUAUGCAAUUUGGUGUGCCGCUGAGGCUCUGAAAGAUGUAAAUUGGUUACCAGAGGAGCAGAAAGAAAAACAAAGGCGGUGGGGUUAUUGGAAGCAUCAGUGGGACUCUUGACGCAGCAAAGUUGAUCUGUGAAAAGCGCCUUCGUCGGCUUACUCCAUUUUUCAUCCCUCGGAUAUUGAUUAAUAUGGUACAAGACACGUGGGCAUGAAAUAUGGACUGCAGAUGAAGAGCAUUGCCAACAAAGUUUAACAUGCUUCCACAAGAGGCAUCACGACCUUUUGAUAGCGGUUGAGACGGAUUUGUGAUAGUUGAAGGUUGGGGUCUCAUGGUUCUAGAGAUGUGCACAAAGCAAAAGAAAUUCAGCACUGCGGAGGACCCAUUGGAAUCUUCCUUACAGCUUUGUGAUUAUCUUUCACAAUGUCUACUAGCAAUCAAUAUCAAAGGGUGCUACUCUGUUGCUAUAAUCUGGAAGGGUUCUGCCUAACCCUUGUCUUGUCAGCCAAAGAAAAAGGAGAGGAAAGCCUGAUUAUGUGGAGCCUUUUGUUGUCUCUUCUUGAGGUAAAUAUUUAAAUGUUAUUUUAGUAUUAAUUGAUUGCUUGGAUUUGAGUUAUUUGUCAUAAUCUUCUCAGGAUGCACUUCGUGCACGUAGAGUUUUUUUCGAACAG